AUGAACGCUGGCGGCGUGCCUAAUCCAUGCCAGUCGCGCGAACAGACGAGGAGCUUGCUCCUCUGACGUUAGCGGCGGACGGGUGAGUAACACGUGGAUAACCUACCUAUAAGACUGGGAUAACUUCGGGAAACCGGAGCUAAUACCGGAUAAUAUAUUUAACCGCAUGGUUCAAUAGUGAAAGACGGUUUUGCUGUCACUUAUAGAUGGAUCCGCGCCGCAUUAGCUAGUUGGUAAGGUAACGGCUUACCAAGGCAACGAUGCGUAGCCGACCUGAGAGGGUGAUCGGCCACACUGGAACUGAGACACGGUCCAGACUCCUACGGGAGGCAGCAGUAGGGAAUCUUCCGCAAUGGGCGAAAGCUUGACGGAGCAACGCCGCGUGAGUGAUGAAGGUCUUCGGAUCGUAAAACUCUGUUAUUAGGGAAGAACAAAUGUGUAAGUAACUAUGCACGUCUUGACGGUACCUAAUCAGAAAGCCACGGCUAACUACGUG
rnacentral:rRNA from 1 species